CUGCAGAGAGCAGGAGGAGGAGACAGAGAGACAGAAACAGAGACAACCGAUGUUUACCGCCUGCUGUUGUCAUGGAGACGGCAAAAGCAGAGAGACAUCUGCUGCUCUUGGUGUUUGGGGGCUGUAACUUCAGGGCGAUGCGGAGCGUCAGUUUUACCAGAGCUUUGAGAGUGCAGGGGGCUGAAAUACACGUCGAGACGACUCAACGCCGCCUGCUGUGGGGAUUGGAGUCCUGCGCCUCCAUAUUUAUGGACACGCAGUGCUACAUAGCAUCGCUGUGUCUUUAAAUAUCCUAACAGACAUGUCUUGCACGCCACUGUUUACAAAACAUCUGACUAGCUUCCAUAGUAGUCUUUUUGUGGUCGUCAUGUAAUCCUUCGCCAUGAAAGCGGGCCAUGUCUUUCUUUUGUGACAGAGAUCUUGAACUAGGCGUGGCAGA